rnacentral:snRNA from 1 species
CGAUGUAAGGGCAAUCUGGCUUGCAACUUCUGUCACCAUACUGAUCACCAGGAUUGAUUUGGCCUAUCUGGCUGGCUAGGCAGGUGUCUACUUCCUCUCUCACCUGCUCCAUGUGCAUCCCUCCUGAGCUUCACAUUAGAGGACAACCCUCACUGAACAGAGACAGACCUGUCUUCAAUAGAGGGCAUGUGGCUAACUGCACUUCCCUGCUAGAUCCUCUAAACAAGCUCUCAAGAGAGUGAUGGAAAUGUUUAUUUCUCUGGCUUGAGAAGUGGCACAGUGGCUAAAGAA